AUACUCGCUUCAGCAGCACAUAUACUAAAAUUGGAAUGAUACAGAAAACAUUAGCAUGGCCCCUGCACAAGGAUGACACAUAAAUUCGUGAAGCAUUCCAUAUUUGG
rnacentral:snRNA from 1 species